rnacentral:rRNA from 1 species
AUACGUAGGGGGCGAGCGUUGUCCGGAAUGAUUGGGCGUAAAGGGCGCGUAGGCGGCCCGGUAAGUCUGGAGUGAAAGUCCUGCUUUUAAGGUGGGAAUUGCUUUGGAUACUGUCGGGCUUGAGUGCAGGAGAGGUAAGUGGAAUUCCCAGUGUAGCGGUGAAAUGCGUAGAGAUUGGGAGGAACACCAGUGGCGAAGGCGACUUACUGGACUGUAACUGACGCUGAGGCGCGAAAGUGUGGGGAGCAAACAGGAUUAGAUACCCUGGUAGUCCACACUGUAAACGAUGAAUGCUAGGUGUAGGGGGUAUCGACCCCUUCUGUGCCGCAGUUAACACAAUAAGCAUUCCGCCUGGGGAGUACGGCCGCAAGGUUGAAACUCAAAGGAAUUGACGG